rnacentral:rRNA from 1 species
GAUGAACGCUGGCGGCGUGCCUAAUACAUGCAAGUCGAGCGAACGGACGAGAAGCUUGCUUCUCUGAUGUUAGCGGCGGACGGGUGAGUAACACGUGGAUAACCUACCUAUAAGACUGGGAUAACUUCGGGAAACCGGAGCUAAUACCGGAUAAUAUUUUGAACCGCAUGGUUCAAAAGUGAAAGACGGUCUUGCUGUCACUUAUAGAUGGAUCCGCGCUGCAUUAGCUAGUUGGUAAGGUAACGGCUUACCAAGGCAACGAUGCAUAGCCGACCUGAGAGGGUGAUGGGCAACACUGGAACUGAGAAAGGGUCCAGACUCCGAGGGGAGGCAGCAGUAGGGAAUCUUCCGCAAGGGGCGAAAGCCUGACGGAGCAACGCGGCGUGAGUGAUGAAGGUCUUCGGAUCGUAAAACUCUGUUAUUAGGGAGGAACAUAUGUGUAAGUAACUGUGCACAUCUUGACGGUACCUAAUCAGAAAGCCACGGCUAACUACGUG